rnacentral:lncRNA from 1 species
CAGGAUGAGCAACUUGCCUUUUAGCAUGAGGAAAUGAAAAAGAUGCAAUAAGCAAGAUGCAAGAUUAUGAUUUGGUACUGUUGUUCAGUGAAGGACCCCAGAGAUUUCAAAAAAUAUUUUUUAUUAAGAAGAUGAGAGGCAAAGA